UGUUAGCGGACCUGAUGUCGGACUUUUCCUCCUCAGCAGAUUUCAUCACCAACACGCAGCCAAGUGUUGUUUAUUGUUGUUGUUGUUUAUUGUUGCGAAGAAUUAGCCGCCAUGUCGCUUCUUCAUCCGACGGAGAGGCAGUCCAGUCAGUCCAGGGAGUCCAAGCAGCUCAGUCAGCCCAAGAAGCCCAGGCAGCCCAAGCAGCCCAAGCAGCCCAAGCAGCCCAAGCAGCCUCCCCCCUGGAAGGACGAGCUGGCCGACAUGUCCCAGCACAUUUACGAUGAUGGAAGCAACAAGGUGGGCGGAGCGACGUACUUGAGAAGGAGUCGACUGAAAAGAUCGGAUGGCAGCACCACCUCCACCAGUUUCAUCCUCAGACAAGGUUCUGCAGACUCCUACAUGAGCCCACCCUCGGACUUGGAGGUGUCUGUGGAGGCGGACCAGGAAGACCAGGAGGACCAGGAGGACCAGGAGGACCAGGAAGACCAGGAGGACCAGAGGCAGGAGGCUGCCCUCCAACUGGAGAGGGCAAAGACCAAAGCCGUGGCCUUCGCCGUCAGGACAAACGUCAGCUACUGUGGCGCUCUUGAUGAGGACGUCCCUGUGGGCGGGACUACUGUCUCCUUUGAUGCCAAGGACUUCCUCCACAUCAAAGAGAAGUACAACAAGGAGUGGUGGAUGGGGCGUCAGGUGAAGGAAGGAAGUGAGCUGGGCUUCAUUCCAAGUCCUCUGAAGCUGGAGAACAUGCGAGUGCAGCAGGAGCAGAAGAGAGGGAACUCCUCCUCCAGUCUGGGAGACAUGGUGUCAGCUCCCUUUAAGAGCAAUGCCAACCUUGCAGGGAAGCACAAACUCAAAAUGGCUGAGCAGGGGCCCCCCUAUGACGUGGUCCCCUCCAUGAGGCCGGUGGUCCUGGUGGGUCCGUCCCUGAAAGGUUACGAGGUGACGGACAUGAUGCAGAAGGCGCUCUUCGACUUCCUUAAGCACAGGUUUGAUGGCAGGGUCUCCAUCACCCGGGUGACUGCCGACAUAUCGCUGGCCAAGAGGUCGCUGCUCAACAACCCCGGGAAGCGGGCCGUCAUUGAGAGGUCCACCGUCAGCUGCAGCCUUGCGGAGGUGCAGAGCGAGAUCGAGCGCAUCUUUGAGCUGGCCCGCUCCCUGCAGCUGGUGGUUCUGGACGCCGACACCAUCAACCACCCGGCUCAGCUCCUCAAGACCUCCCUGGCGCCCAUCAUCAUCCACGUCAAAGUGUCCUCGCCCAAGGUCCUGCAGCGUCUGAUCAAGUCUCGAGGCAAGUCUCAAAGCAAACACCUGAACGUGCAGCUAGUGGCGGCCGAGAAGCUUUCCCAGUGUCCGCCGGAAAUGUUUGACAUCAUCCUGGACGAGAACCAGCUGGAGGACGCCUGCGAGCAUCUGGCCGAGUACUUGGAGUCGUACUGGAGGGCCACGCACGCCUCGCCCGGGGCCGCGCCCAACCCCCUGCUGGGGCGCAACCUGGGCUCCACCGCGCUCUCGCCGUAUCCCGCCGUCUUCCAGGCCCAAAGGAACCAUAACAGCAACCGUUCAACCGGAGAACUGGCCCCGGUGGAGCGUGGCGGCCUGAUGCCGGCGGACCAGAACCUCCACAACGAGCGGACGAGGAGCAACCGCCUGUCGUCCGGCUCGCAGCACAGCCGAGACCACCUGCCUCUGAUGGAGGAGGACCCUUACCAGGACUCGUACAGGCCUCAUCGGAACCAGGACUGCAGACACAGGCUGUGACGCUAACUUGGACUCUAUGGACCGUGACCAACAAAGGUCUUGUCCAUGUGGACCGCGACCAACAUGGACUGUGACCAGCGAGGGUCUUGUCCAUGUGGACGUCGACCAACAUGGACUGUGACCAACAAGGGUCUUGUCCAUAUGGACGGCGACCAACAUGGACUGUGACCAACGAGGGUCUUGUCCAUGUGGACCGCGACCAACAUAGACUGUGACCAACGAGGGUCUUGUCCAUGUGGAUCGCGACCAACAAUGGUAUUGUGCAUGUGGAUCGCGACCAACAUGGACCGAACCUCGACCAACAUGGGUCUUGUCCAUGUGGACCGCAACCAACAUGGACCGUGACCAACAAGGGUCUUGUCCAUGUGGACCGUGACCAACAAGGGUCUUGUCCAUGUGGGCCGCGACAAACAAGGGUCUUGUCCAUGUGGACCGCGACCAAUAUGGGUCUUGUCCAUGUGGGCCACGACCAACAUGGACCGUGACCACCAAAGGUCUUGUCCAUGUGGGCCGCGACCAACAAGGGUCGUGUCCAUGUGGACCGCGACCAAUAUGGGUCUUGUCCAUGUGGGCCACGACCAACAUGGACCGUGACCACCAAAGGUCUUGUCCAUGUGGGCCGCGACCAACAAGGGUCUUGUCCAUGUGGACCGCGACUAACAUGGGUCUUGUCCAUGUGGAUUGCGACCAACAAGGGUAUUGUCCAUAUGGACCGUGACCAGCAAGGGUCUUGUCCUUGUGGACCGCGACCAACAUGAGUCUUGUCCAUGUGGACUGUGACUAACAUAGGUCUUGUCAAGGUGGACUGCGACCAACAUGGGUCUUGUCCAUGUGGACCACGACCAACAUGGACCGUGACCAACAAGGGUCUUGUCCAUGUGGACUGUUACCAAUAUGGGUCUUGUCAAUGUGGACUGUGACCAACAUGGACCGUGACCAACAAGGGUCUUGUCCAUGUGGACCGUGACCAACAAGGGUCUUGUCCAUGUAUACCAUGACCAACAAGGGUCUUGUCCAUGUGGACCGCGACCAACAUGGGUUCUUGUCCAUGUGGACCGCGACCAACAUGGGUCUUGUCCAUGUGGACCGCGACCAACAUGGGUCUUGUACAUGUGGACCGCGACCAACAUGGACCGUGACCAACAAGGGUCUUGUCCAUGUGGACCGUGACCAACAAGGGUCUUGUCCAUGUGUACCAUGACCAACAAGGGUCUUGUCCAUGUGGACCGUGACCAACAUGGACCGUGACCAACAAGGGUCUUGUCCAUGUGGACCGCGACCAACAUGGGUUCUUGUCCAUGUGUACCGCGACCAACAUGGGUCUUGUCCAUGUGGACCGCGACCAACAUGGGUCUUGUCCAUGUGGACCACGACCAACAUGGACCGUGACCAACAAGGGUCUUGUCCAUGUGUACCAUGACCAACAAGGGUCUUGUCCAUGUGGACCGCGACCAACAUGGGUCUUGUCCAUGUGGACCGCGACCAACAUGGGUUCUUGUCCAUGUGGACCGCGACCAACAUGGGUCUUGUCCAUGUCCCCCAGUGAAGGUAGCACACGAUUGAAACAGGAACUGCAAGCGCUCCACACGGCAACGUGUUGGCCUUCUGGGAACCUGCAGAACCGUAGCAUGUUGACCAGACCAGAACCAGUUUGCCUUUGUCCAGGAGUCCGUAGAACCCACACGACUUAAAAACUCUUCCCUAUUGGUCCAACAUGGCGUCAGUCCUCUUAACGCCUCUCAGGACUCCAUUGUUGUCUUCAGGACCAGCAGAACCUCAUCCAGAUCUUUCAGUCCUGCUCCAUCCUAGACCUGAGUGAUGUUUCCCACCUGCUCCAAAGCUCACUAACCAGUCCCAAUAAAUGUGUGAAGAAUGGCGUUUCCUCCACGUGAAGCCCUGAUAAGUCCAACAGAGGAAGAGAUGAUGCAGUAUUAUAUGCUGCCUGGUGGUUGUUCAAGCACACUGCAGCUAGUCCACUCCUUAAUGAUUAAGACGCACGCAGGAUUCUCACAGGUAUGAGGCAAAAACUAGUGUGGCCCUAUUGUAAUAACAACAAAUGUCAGUAAAGUUAUCUAUUUUGGACCACAUCGUAGAAAAUAAAACAUUAAAAACACAAUACUAGAACAUCAAAAAAGUAUAAUCCUACUAAUUUCACAAUAAAGUCAUAAUGUAUGAACAAUAUGUUCAUCAUUUUAGGAGAAUAAAGUCAUUUGUAGAACCACAGGACAAUAGAUUUAUUCGGCAAGAAUAAAGUUGUAAUACUAGAAAAAAAGGCACAAUUGAAUGAGAAUGAAGUCGUACACUACUAGAAAAACGAGGUUCAAAUUCAUUUUAAAAACAUAAUUUUCGGAAAAUAAAGUGUUAAAAUAUAACAAGAUUAAAAUUCCUAAUUUUUUGAGAGUGAAGUUAAAGUACGACUGGAAAUAAUUGUUAAAAUGUAUUUUUUUAAAAAAACAAUCAUAAUUUCAGGAAAAUAAAGUGAUCAAAUGUUACAAUUUUAAAUUCCUAAUGUUUUGAGAGUGAAGUUUUGUACCACGAGAAAAAAUACAUAUUUGUAGGAGAAUAAAGUUUUAGUAAUAUCACAAGAACAAAGUCAUCGUUUUAUGAGAGCUAAGUCAUAUUAAAAAAGUAGUUUACAAGAAUAAAGUUAUUUUCUAAGUAGAAAAAAACCCCACAAUUUUACAGAAAUAUACUUUUACAAAUAAAGUCAUAGUUUUAUGAGAAUGAAGUCAUAGUACUAGAAGAUAAUUAUUACUAUUAUUAUUAUUUUUUUUUUACAAAUUUAUUAGAAAAAAUGUUGUAAAAAUAUUAAAAGAACAAAAUCAUAACUAUGGGAGAAUGAAGUCAUAGAACUAAUAAAAAACAUGUUACAAGUUUGUUUAAAUAAAAACAUAAUUUCAGGAAAAUAAAAUUAAAAUAUCACACGAUUAAAGUCAUCAUUUUAUGAGAAAAAAGUCAGUAAAAAAUUAUUUGACAAGAAUUAAGUUGUCAUUUUUUAAGAGAGAAAAAGAACAAUUUUACAGAAAUACAAAGUCAUAAUUUUAUGAGAAUAUAUUUACAAGUUUAUUAAAAAAACAUACAAUUAUUUUCUACGUGGGGAAAAAAAACUACAUUUUAGAGAAAUAUGCUUUUAAAGAUGAAGUCAUUGUUUAAUGAGAAUUAAGUCAUACUACUAGAAGAUUUAUUUUAUUAUUUUUUUGACCAUUUUUUUUUUAGAAAAAAUACAUAUUUGUUGGAGAAUAAAGUUGUAAAACUAUUACAAGAACAAAAUGAUAACUUUGGGAGAAUGAAGUCCUAGAGCUAUUAAAAAACAUUUAACAAGUUUGUUUGAAUGAAAACAUCAUUUUAGGAAAAUAAAGUGUUCAAAUGUUACACGAUUAAAGUCAAAAUUUUAUGAGAAAGAAGUCAUAGUAAAUAAAAUGUACAGAAAUACACACAAAUAAAGUCAUCAUUUUAUUGGAAUGAAGUCAUAGUACUAGAGAAACAUGUCACAAGUUUAUUAAAAAAACACAAUUUUAGGAAAAUGAAGUGUUAAUAUAAUGAUAUUGUACACGAUUGAAGUCAUAAUUUUAUGAGAAUUAAGUAUUAGUAAAAAAUUUUUUUUUACAAGAAUUAAGUUGUAAUUUUUAUGAGGAAAAACAUAAUUUUAGGGAAAUAUAGUUUUACAAAUAAAGUCAUUUUGUGAGAAUAAGUUUGUGCUAUUAUUAGAAGAAAAAAGCCUUUUAGAAAAAUGUAUCUUUUACAGGAAAUGAAAUACAUAAUUCUAGGAGAAUAAAGUUGAAAUACGACAAGAACAGAUACUGUUUGUGUCAUAUUCCAACUUUUCCAAUUAAAUGUCCAGUCUUUUGGAGUCAAGUUGGCAUACAAAGUCAAUGUUUAUAUUUGAUGACGUGUUGAAGUGAUCACGUGUCUUUUUUUAUUUCACUUUCACUUUCACGGGCUGCAAUGAAACUUGUUGUGUUCAUGUAUCAGACAACGCACCUCAGU